GUUUUGGGUUUUUUUUUAAUGGGUUUUUGUUUUGAUUAUUCAUUGUAUUUAUUGAUUUUUUUUUUUUUGUUCCGGUAUCUUUUGACUUCAUUAGAGCAAAAUGCUUCUCAGAUCUCCACACUCCGGAGGACUUCAGUCUCCAGCCCAGCCCGUGCCAAGAUUGUGCUCCGAUUCAAUUCACCACUUUAUUUCUUCUCUGAAACACAUGGGAGCCACUGCAUCUCCUCUCACUCCCCUGAGGGAUUUGGGGUUUUUUUUUAGCGUUUUUUAAAACAAAGAUGAAUGUGCUUGUCUCUCUGUGUAUGGGCUUGAAUGUGGAGAGCUGAGUAGAUAACGUGGCUUGGAUCUGGCUAAAUGUUGAACAAAGAAUUACCUAGUUCAUCAAAAGAAGUGGCUGUUCCCUUGCCUGAAAUCAGUUGCCUGCACCUUCCUGCUCUGAAAUGGAAUAACUAUGCCCUGAUGCCCUGAGUUGACACAAUGUGCCAUCUGGAUAUACACUGGAAAUCCCUCGGGCAGGCAGGUAGACGCCAAAUGGCAAUGGCAAGACUUAAAAUUAGAGGAGAUACUCUCUGAUUUAUGGAGAUACACAACAUUAUCCACCAAAUACUGCAGAGUGGUAAGAGAACACUGGGCAGUGGGGAAUGAAGCUCCUACUCCUGUAUCUUCUACUGUCCUACUUGAUCUGGGAAUUCAUCUGAGCACCAUCAAUAAUCUAUGAUAUAUUUAGAAAACCUCAUUAAACAUUUGGCCAAAUGUGCUUUCUCAAACACCCGUUUGGCUGCUGUCUGAGCAGAGCAGACCCUGGGUCACAGAGCUUGAGAGAAGGGAAUUUUUCCUCAUUUAUUUUUAGUUUCAUUUCCUGGGGAAGUAAGCCAUCUGUGAUCUGUUUCCCUCUGGAAAGUUUUGAAGCUGCUCUGAAGUUUAAGUUCGCAGAGCCUCAGAGAUACUCAAUACCUCCAGUUUUUGUGGAAGUAAAAAGAGACCCUGGAACAGGAUAAGAGAAAAAACAUGGGAAUCCAGGCUGUGUGAACUUGUGCCCCAUCCUUUCAAGCAGCAGUGAGAGUGGAAGGGGCAGUGUGAGCUUGGAUUGCUGCUCAGGUAGUUGUCUCCCCCAGAGUAGCCAGCACACUUCUGCUUGUACCACUUAAUCCAUCCACAACCAGAUUUCUUUAUCCCAGGAUUAGGUAGGGAAGAGGAGGCUUCACCGGGAUACUUGUAAGAGUCUGUGCCCAGGCUGCCCUUAAUGUAAGAUCUUGGUUGUAUUUCCUCUUGGAAGAGGAAAUAAAGAGCUCAUUAGUGGCAUUUACAGAGUGUUAAACUGGGAGAGAUCAAAAGCUGUGCUGGAGUAGAAACAUAAACUGCCUGAAAAUGAUAAACAUGAGCAGAAAUUGAUGGAAGCUCAGUUGGGAAGACUGUGAGUCCUCCUCUGAGGAGACUGAACUUCAUGCACCCAUCUACUAAAAUGAAGAACUCUGAAGGUAAAUAAUUUCAGAAGACAAAGAAUAAAGGCAAAAGGGAAGCUGACACCAAAUACCACCAUCUGAAGAAGGCUGUAGAAAGGUUAGGACAGUGCUGUGGAUCUGUGAAGGAAAUAAUAUAAAUGUGAGGGAUAUAGCAAAGGCUGCAGGCAUUUGGAGAGUCCUCACUCCUCCUUUCCUCUCCUGGUUUCUCAUUCAUCCAACAGAAUUUGGGCACUGGGCAGACAAGGCUACUCUUUUUCUGAGAACAGCAACAUCCUCUCUCUUGCCAUACGUGUCUAGAGAAGAUCCCUCUGCUUGUGCAGUUCACAUUACACGUGGAGUUCCUUGUCCUUAAACACAUUAUUUGGCAACAGAAGCAGAGAUUUGGCCCUUCGUGAGUGUGACUCGUUCCCCAUAGCUGCCAGGAGGUGGCUCUCUGCAUUUGCAGUCCCUAUUUACUGUUUUGUUUAUGGAAUUAUGUUGGACAUGUUUUCUGUGGAAAAUGUUUUCAGUGUGUUUGCCUUGAGGAAGUUUACCUAAGGAGAACAAGGAAGCCAUGGGCUGAGUAAAUAGUUUGCUAAAAAACAAGGCACAGAGCGGUUCACUUUUGUCAGAAUGUUUUAUGGCUACAGUCCAAAGGGAUUUUUCUUGUGCAGGACCUAAUCUUUUCAUUGUAAGAUUACGUAUAUCAGGCUCAGGGAGUUACAUCCCUGUUUGUGGGAUGCAUUUACCAGAUUUGAUUUUAGCUGAGUAAAAGUCAUUCUCAAUAAAAAAAAGCAUUUUAGUCACAUGUUUUAAAGGAUGCACAUGGUUCAUGGACAGGACCCUGGAGAAUUGGUCAAAAUGCUUCUUCAUUCCCACCUCUUCAGUGUAAGAGCCGUUGUUCCACAGCUCCAGGUGGAAGAUCCCUGUGUCCACGCCAUGAACUUCAUGUAGGUGC